rnacentral:lncRNA from 1 species
UUUGAAUGGUAAUUUCGUAAGACUCCAUCCAUCGAACAAAAGAUUCAAACACAUGCUCCAUGUUAAAAAUAUUUUUAUUAAUUGCAUAUAACUCAAGUUACUUAACAGAAAAAAACAAUAUUACCAUAUAAACUCUUGCCUGUAUAAAAUGACACAAUAGUUGCAUUAACAAUGAUGAAUACUUCACAAUAUAUCUCAAUAAUCAUAAAUAACACCAACAUCCAAAAUUCUUGCUGCCCCUUGCAGUUAAAGAACCAAAAAAUUCACACCAACACUAAACACAAUACCACAAUCUUCAGCCAAACACGACGACUUUGCCAGCAACAACAUUCCAAAAUGGUCGACCAGGCAAGACAAGACUCCUCCUAUUGGCACGUCUUUUAUACAAUAUCCAAUUUACAUAAAUUUUUUAAAUAACAAUAAAGUCCAAACCAUAACUUAAAUAAAAUUUAGCACUAUUAUAUGAACUAUUAUUAUAAAUAAAAGAAUUGUUAAACAUAUUACUACAAUUCAAAAAACAAAAAAAUAAUUUAUUCUCUUGAGCCAAGAGUAUCCUUGUUAAUGGCACAACAGCAACGGCCACAGAACUGGGAACUCCAAAACACCCUCCAUCGCAAGAGUAGGUAUUUUCUAAAAUCCUUGCAAUGCAAUUGUUUUCUUUAUAUUAAUAAAAUC